AUUUAAAUAGUUUAAGUAAAACGUUGGUUUGUGGUACCAAAGAUAUGAACUUAUUUCAUUUUAAAUC